GACGUAGGGGGCAAGCGUUGUUCGGAAUUAUUGGGCGUAAAGCGCUCGUAGGCGGGACAGGAAGUUCGUGUUGAAAGACCUCGGCUCAACUGAGGGACCGGCUCGAAUACUCUUGUUCUUGAGGCAAUCAGAGGGUGAUGGAAUUCCCGGUGUAGCGGUGAAAUGCGUAGAUAUCAGGAAGAACACCCGUGGCUAAGGCGGCUCUCUAGUACGGUACUGACGCUGAGACGCGAAAGCGUGGGGAGCGAACAGG
rnacentral:rRNA from 1 species